rnacentral:lncRNA from 1 species
AUGAGUUUUAAACCUCACGAGUGCUGGGCUCUGCCUUGGGAGCCCUGGUGGGGCCGGGAGCAAGGCAACCCCAGGGACCCUUGCCUCUGGUGUCAGCAGAGCGGUGCUGGCGUCUCGGUGCCGUCUAUAUGGGAAAUGUUGGUUUCCAUAGGAACGGCCUGUGGCAGCGCUGGCUUUUGGGGGAGGUGGCAUCUGGAUGGUGGCAGGAGCCUGGCGUGGCUGCGCCUCGCUAACUCAGUCUCCCUCCCUCUGCAAACAUUGGAUUUAAACCUGCUCAGAAUUCAGCACAGACGAAAGCGGCAGCAGCGGCGGCGGCGGCAGCAGCAGCAAGCAGCAAGCAAAUCAGCCGCUAGCCUAGUGCAGCUCCAAGAUGUACCAUCCUGCCUGCUGGAUCGUCUUCACCGCCACAACUGCCCUGCUCUUCAUCCCAGCUCUGCCGUGCCCGACACCCCGAGGACCGAGCAAAGCUCCUGUGCAAGCACCCGUGCAGCCCCUUCCCCUGGCCAGCUCCAGCACCGGGGCGCAGGAUUCGGCCCGUCGUGGCAGCACGGCGCGGGGAGCGCUGUUACCGUGCGAACAGCCGCCGUCGCCUGUCAGCGCAGUCAUAUCCUUUUGUCGGGUAGAUAA